CACGUAGGCACCAAGCGUUUGUCCGGAUUUAUUGGGCGUAAAGAGCUCGUAGGCGGUUCGGUAAGUCGGGUGUGAAAACUCUGGGCUCAACCCAGAGCCGCCACCCGAUACUGCUGUGACUCGAGUGCGGUAGGGGAGCGGGGAAUUCCCGGUGUAGCGGUGAAAUGCGCAGAUAUCGGGAGGAACACCAAUGGCGAAGGCAGCUCGCUGGGACGGUACUGACGCUGAGGCGCGAAAGCGUGGGAGCGAACAGG
rnacentral:rRNA from 1 species